AUGAACGCUGGCGGCGUGCCUAAUACAUGCAAGUCGAGCGAACGGACGAGAAGCUUGCUUCUCUGAUGUUAGCGGCGGACGGGUGAGUAACACGUGGAUAACCUACCUAUAAGACUGGGAUAACUUCGGGAAACCGGAGCUAAUACCGGAUGAUAUUUUGAACCGCAUGGUUCAAAAGUGAAAGACGGUCUUGCUGUCACUUAUAGAUGGAUCCGCGCUGCAUUAGCUAGUUGGUAAGGUAACGGCUUACCAAGGCAACGAUGCAUAGCCGACCUGAGAGGGUGAUCGGCCACACUGGAACUGAGACACGGUCCAGACUCCUACGGGAGGCAGCAGUAGGGAAUCUUCCGCAAUGGGCGAAAGUCUGACGGAGCAACGCCGCGUGAGUGAUGAAGGUCUUCGGAUCGUAAAACUCUGUUAUUAGGGAAGAACAUAUGUGUAAGUAACUGUGCACAUCUUGACGGUACCUAAUCAGAAAGCCACGGCUAACUACGUG
rnacentral:rRNA from 1 species